AACGAACGCUGGCGGCACGCCUCAUACAUGCAAGUCGAGCGCGAAACCACCUUCGGGUGAUGUAGAGCGGCGAACGGGUGAGUAACAGGUGGAUAAUCUGCCCUUUGGCGGGGGGACGAACAGCUGGAAACGGCUGCUAAUACCGCAUGUGGUUGUAUGCUCAUGGUGUACAAAGAAAGACGCCUCAAAGCGUCACCAAAGGAUGAGUCCGCCCCCCAUUAGCUAGUUGGUGAGAUAACAGCUCACCAAGGCAUCGAUGGGUAGCCGAGCUGAGAGGUUGAUCGGCCACACUGGAACUGAGACACGGUCCAGACACCUACGGGUGGCAGCAGUGGGGAAUCUUCCGCAAUGGGCGCAAGCCUGACGGAGCAACGCCGCGUGAGUGAAGAAGGCCUUCGGGUUGUAAACGUACUGUCUUCUAGGGAAGAAAAAGUAGACGGUACCUGAGGAGGAAGGCCCGGCUACUACGUGCCGACGCCGCGGUAACUAGUCUACGC
rnacentral:rRNA from 1 species